ensembl:lncRNA
CACCCUCAAGGCAAGCCAGGCAGCGGGCUUGCCAAAACCAGAGUUUCUGACAAGGCAGGGAUGUCCCCGGCUGGUUUCAUCAUCAGAACAGCAUUUUCCAGCGGUUUCUCUAGCAGUGAGGUGGCGAGAAAGAAAGCAUAGCAGCUCAGAAUAUAAGGAGGAUUAGAAGAGUGCAUUGCCUAAGAAGGCAUCCUCGUCCUGUUUGCAGCUAUGUCAAGAGAUCCCACACAUAGAAGUUUUCUGUGCCCCACGUAUGAGCUCUUUCCCUUAUGCAAGCAAGCCAAGACAGGACUGGCGUGAGUGGGAUGGAGGUUUUGGGACCACACCUAGCUCACAGAAACUUGAUUUGGAGCCAGCUGUGGUGUACGCCAAUAAAACCUGCAAUCAGUGACAGCUUUCAUCCCAAAUGUGUCCGGGCUGACUUCCCUUUCAAAAUAAUGGAGGAUGAGACUGCAAGCAGGAACAAGGUGGUCCUUACAAAACCUGAAAGUUCCCCAGGAUAUGGAGGAAGCAGAAGAAAAAGAAUGACAUGGAAAAAAAGAACUGAUUAUGAGGGACAAAAAUGAAACAAAGGGAAGACAUGCUGAUGGGUGCUCUGCCCCACAGUGUGGGAGGAUGAACUACAUGUUCCAAUAAAUGUACUAUCUAAAUUGUCAGAGUUCUGUGCCCCUUUUCUUAGCUUUGGUUUUCUUUCUUUUCCGGUGUACAAUACGUGCAGCACUGAAUUUUGCAGUAAUGUAUGUCACAUGAAAUUGUUUACCUGAAUACACAGUGCAAAAAUUGCAGGACUCGACCAGCAGAUAGGUUUGUAGAACCUGUGAUUUUUAUGUAAAGAGUUGUAAAAUCAUCUCUGUACAGAGGACUGCAUUUCGAUAUAGUGUCCCUUGUAUAGCUUAGAAAACCAUAACAAUAAACAACACAAUGUACAGCAUGCAUUUUUUCAAACUAUUUUGGGUAUGAGCCUUCAUUUUGCAUAGCGUGUAGCUUUAGGCUAUAUUACAUUUUUUCCAAAUGAAUCCAUUUUUUAUUACACAAACCCAUUAACAUUGCUUUCUACAUGUGUGCUUCUGUGGAUUUCCCUUAAAAACAAAAAAAAAAAACCAGACCAAAUCAAUUGAAUAAAGA